AAUUCCAACACUACCCUUGUUUAAUUAUUUUAGUGACAAAAAUAAAACUAGUUAAAAUCAAAUGAAAUCACACACUUAAAAAUAAUUAUAAUAAAAUAAAAUCAUAAAUAAUUCUAUUUAAUUAUUUAGAUUAUUUUGAAAAAAAACAUAAAUAAAAGAAUUCAAAAUGAAUAAAAGUGGAUGCAAAAAUGCUCAAACAAAUAAAAUAAAUGCACUAAAAUGAUCGGUGAGAAAUAAACCUUUAAAAAACAGAAAAGUUUUUAUCAAAUUUUGAAGUAAAAAAGAACCGGUUAAAAAGGUUC
rnacentral:lncRNA from 1 species